rnacentral:lncRNA from 1 species
AAAAAAAAAAAAAAAAAAAAAAAAAAAAAAGAAAUCUGCUGAUAGCCUUAUGAGGGUUCUCUUGUAUGUGAUGAGUCAUUUUUCUCUUGCUAAUUUCAAGAUUCUCUCUUUGUCUCUGACUUUUAACAUUUUUAUUUAACGUAUGUCAGAGUAAUCUUUGUUGUGUUGAUUUUGCUUAGGGGCUUUUGAACUUCCUAUAUGUGGAUGUUCAUAUCUGUCCCAAGAUUUGGGACGUUUUCAGCUAUUAUAUAUUUAAAUACGCUUUCUUCUCUUGAGACUACCAUGAUGUAAAUGUCUGUUCCUUGAUGGUGACCCAUAAUUCAUGUAAGCUUUCUUCACUUUUUUUUUUGCUUUUUUUUUAAGGGCUUCACCUGCAUCAUGUGGAAGUUCCCAAGCUAUGGGCUGAAUUGGAGCUGUAGCUCCUGGCCUAUACCACAGUCACAGCAACUCAGGAUCCAAGCCGCAUCUGUGACUUACACCACAGCUCAUGGCAAUGCUGGAUCCUUAAUCCACUGAACAGGACCAGGGAUCAAACCUACAUCCUCAUGGAUACUAGUUUGAUUCUUAACCCACUAAGCCACAGUGGGAACUUCAUCUUCACUUUUUUAUUCUUUUUUUUUCUUUUUCCCUCUAACUGACUAAUCUCAAAUAAUUUGUUUCUGAGUUUGAUUCCUUGUUAUACGUGAUCAAGUCUAUUGUUGAAGCUCUCUAUUGAAUUUUCUAGGUCUGUUGUAUUCUUCAGCUUCAAGACUUCUGUUUGCUUCUUUCUGUGGUGUCUAUUUCUUUAUAAAUCUUCUCAUUUUAUUUAUACAUCAUUUUACAGAUUUUGUAAACAACUCUCCUUAAGGUAGUGAUUCUCUCUCUCUCUCUCUCUCUCUCUCACACACACACACACACACACACACACUGCCACUGGCCACAUACACAUUUUUAAGCCAGUGCCUAAACUAUUUUUUAAAGUUGGGUUGUACUAUUUGUGUCUGGGUGAGAUCUCUUGGAUAUUUCUCCAGAAGUAGAGCAUAUGAUUUGUGUUAAAAAUUAUAUAUUCUUCAGAACCACACACAAGCUAAUUAGAAAACCUUACCUUAAUGGCUGGGUCUAUCAUCCAUUUUACCUUGACAAAUAUUGACAGUUUCCUGAAGGCCAACCUUGUUCUUUCCAAGAUUUGUACAUAGCACCUUAUGGGAAAUGGGAGGCUUUAGUAAAUAUUAUUAAGGGUGGAGGUAAGUUAAGGCUAUGUCUUGGUCUUUUACAAUUAUCUUUCCAUUUACAUAUCUAACAAUUGGAAAAGACUAGUUUACAAUGGAAAAUUAAAAUCAAGGGUAAAAUUUUCAGUGAAAAUUUGUUUUACUGAACUAAAGGAUAAAACUCUGCGAUAAUAAAGACACAUAUUUCUUUUCUCUUAACACAGUUUCUCUUUCCAACUAUUUAUUUUGAAAACAUUUUAGACUUACACAAAAGUUUCAGCGAUUAUUGAGCGUCCCUGUUUAUCCUUCACUCACUUUCCUUUAAUAUUAACAUCUUACAUAACCAGGUAAAUGAUUGAAGUCAAAAAAUUUAACAUUAAUACAAUACUCUUAAAUGCCUACAGACCUUACUGAAAUUUCAUCACCUUUCCCACUAAUGUCCUUUUCCUGGUCUGGCAACCAACCCAAUGUUGCAUUCAGUUACCACGUUUCCUUAGUAUCUACAAGUCUAUGACACUUCCUAGGUCUUUCUUUAUCUAUCAUGAUCUUGAAACUUUUUAAAAUACUGGUCUGUUACUUUUUUAUAAUGUUCCUCAAUUUGGUUUUGCUUGUGGUUCUCUGAUAAUUAAAUUCACGUUUUGCAUUUUUGGCAAGAAAAAUCACAGAAAUGCUGUUUAGGUCUUUAAUCUGUAUUGAGUUUAUUUUGGUGUAUGAUGUUAAAGAAUGUUCUGAUUUCAUUCUUUUGCAUGUAGCUGUCCAGUUUUCUCAGCAUCACUUGUUGAAGAGACUCUUUUCUCCAUUUUACAUCUUUGCCUCCUUCGCCAUAGGUUAGUUGACCAUAAGUAUGUGGGUUUAUCUCUGGGCUUUAUUUCCUGUUUCAUUGAUCUAUAUCUCUUUUUUUAAUGCUAGUACCAUGCUGUUUUUAUGACUGUAGUUUUGUAGUAUACUCUGAAGCCUGGAAGUCUGAUUCCUCCAGUUCUGUUUUUCUUCUUCAAGAUUGCUUUGGCUAUUUGAGGUCUUUUGUGUUUCCACACAAAUUAAAACAAUUUUUUUUGGUUCUAGUUCUGUGAAAAAUGUCAUUGGUAAUUCGAUAGGGAUUGCAUUGAAUCUGUAGGUUGCCUUGGGUAGUAUAGUCAUUUUGACAGUAUUGAUUCUUCCAAUCCAAGAGCAACUGUCAUGGAAUGCCUCCAGAUUUCUCACUUUCUUGCCAUCCCUCAGUAUGCAAAGCAAUACAUACUCCUUUCCCUGAAAAUUUUCAUUGUUGAGGAAAAAUUUGUAAGACUUUGAUCUGAGCAACAAAACCAACAAGGUUUUAUUGGGUCAUAUUCUAGAAUAUAAACACUUGUUUUAAGCCUGAAAUGAUUGGAUAGAAAUGACAAUUCAUAAAGUUUGGUUAUUUUUUCCCCCCUCAUAAUCCUGAGAAAGACAAAUAAAAUUUUUGUGCCAUGAGUAAGAGUUGUGAAGUGGUCAUCAGACUACAGUGUCUAUAGUUCCCAGAUUUGAUUUGUAUCAUAGAAUUUUCAGAGUUAUCUAGUUUAGCUUCUUUGUUUUACAAUGAGGAAAUUGUCCCAAUGUUUGGUAUACUGUUUUAUUUUUAUUUUUAUUUAUUUAUUUUUAUUGAAGUAUAUUGAUUUACAAUGUGUUGUUUCUGAUGUACAUACACGUGUGUGUGUGUAUAUGUAUAAAAUAUAUAAUGAUGUGUGUGUGUGUGUGUGUGUGUGUGUGUGUGUGUGUGUGUACACACAAUAUCUUCUUUAUCCAUUCAUUUGUAGUUAGACAUUUAAGUUGCUCCCAUGUCUUAGCUAUUGUAAAUAGCACUACUAUGAACUUACGUGUGCAUGUAUCUUUUUGAAUUAUUGUUUUGUCUUGAAUAAUGCCCAGGGGUGGGAUUGCUGCAUCCCACCCCUAAAAAUAGUAACUCUAUUUUUAGUUUCUUGAGGAACCACCAUACUGUCCUCCAUGGUGACUGUGCCAAUUUACAUUCACACCAACAGCAUAGGUGGCUUCUCUUGUAUUGUUGAUGCUAGUUAUUUGUUUAAUGAAUGAGUUAAAUGACGUGCCUUAGUUUCACAGAGGUACCGUCAGCACCAGAACUCAAUAGGACACUGACUUGGCACCCAUUUCUUUGUGCAGGUACACAUUAAUCCCUAGAGUUGAUGCCUGUGUUUUGGGGCAUCUAGUGUUACUGAAGAAGCCCCAGACAGAGAAAGCAACUCAAGGUAGGGAGUAUAUCUGAUUAUUUCUCUCCUGUCAGGACCACUCAUAGGACUGUAUGAAAAGUAAAUCAUUUGCUGGUGGGGUUUAGUAAACUUUUUAAACUAAUCUGCAUUGUGAAGCCUGAAAAUCAAGCAGAUAAUUUAUAAAAGUAGAAAGGUGAGCUGCUCUUGACUUUUCAUUGAGAAAAAUCUAUCAGAAACUAACCUUCAAGCUUAGAAUUGCAGUGGGGUUAGUGGAGAUGGGCACUGGGGAUCAAGGGAAAAAUGUAGACUUUGAAUACUCUUAACCCAAAUCCAGUUAUGCUUCCUUGAAACUCUCCCACUCUGUCCCGGUGAAUGUGGUCAGGCAAUGUAGAAGCCUGUAGGGAGAAUGUCAGUAUUCAGGUUUCCUUGGAAAGUGACUUUUAUGUUUCUCUUUGAAAAAUUAACAUGGUUAAAUUCAUUUGAGUAAUAAAAAAAAAGAAAAA